GUUUGUCCACAUACUUAGGCUGAAUAAAGAUUGCAUUGAUAGAUUAUAUAAGUAACAUGACAUUGACCUUCAGGCCUUGUUCAUCACAACUUGAUAUGAAACGUGUCCACACAGCAAAAUCCCGUGUUAAUUUAACACUCUGAGUGUGGACUCAUAUAAACACUGAAGCAGUGUUAAAAGUAACACUGAAGCAGUGUUGAAGUUAAUGAGAUAAUUAGGUGUUUGAUUGAGUUAUGAUUGACCAUUAUUGAAGACACCUGAUGUUAACAAGCAGAAUCACCAAACGAGAAAAUCACAAUUUGUGUGUCACCAUUAUAGUGGUCAGUGUUUGCUUUAGUUGGGAUCUUGACCCUUAAGUGUGUGGAAAUACAAAUUUAUAAAAUGUUAAAUCUAGGUUACAAUGUAAUAGUAUGUACAUUGUGUUUUUACAUUUUGAGGUUAAGAUGAUGACAUUCUGAGAUGAUCAAUCAAGCAGCCCAGGUUUCUGAGACAUUGACCUUUUGUUUGCUCUUCCUGACCAUAAACUCAAGGCACAGCUGUGCCUUUGUUUCUAUGAUAAUGUGAAGGUAUGAGUGAUAUUGUCAGGCACCUCUGUAUUUAAAUGACACUGUUAUGCUGAUGAGAUCAAAGCUGGGAGUUUUCCAGUGUCGGGCUGAUACCUGUAUUGCAUUUGCUUGCUUUGUUUAAAUUGUCUCCACCUCUAUGUAUCCCUCCCCCUUGAAAUGUAUAUAAACUCCAAAGUAUCACUGCUUUGGUUAGACUUUUGAUGACUGUAGCGCUAAGCAGAGUGUUCUCAAUAAAGAAUUCUGCUGAAGAUUACCCAAGAGUCUCCUGGUCUUCGCUUCUGAGUUUCCAACAGAGGCUUAAUUAAGCCUCAGAGGGGGGAGAAUGUAGAAGAUUUUCAGUGAUCUUAAUUCAAUAUAAUACAUAGAAUUAUGCCUAUUUGUAGGAAGAAAAUAUUCUACUUUUAUCUACUAUUAUUUUUUAAAGAGACUGUGUGUGAGUAACUUUGUGAAAGGUUGCAGUGUGUUACCGUCCUCCUCUUCUUAAAAGGCACAGCUUCUGAUAAUUUUUAAGGGAGGGGCCCACCAACCACAUUUAAUAUAAGCACCUAAAAUGCUGUUCACUCAAAUGUCAACCAAGAUAAGAAAUAAAGUUUGUACCAACACAGAUAGAAGAGUUAUACCAG
rnacentral:lncRNA from 1 species